GGAUGCGAUCAUACCAGCACUAAUGCACCGGAUCCCAUCAGAACUCUGAAGUUAAGCGUGCUUGGGCGAGAGUAGUCUAGGAUGGGUGACCCCCUGGAAGUCCUCGUGUUGCAUCCC
rnacentral:rRNA from 1 species